ACGUUAGCGGCGGACGGGUGAGUAACACGUGGGUAACCUACCUAUAAGACUGGGAUAACUUCGGGAAACCGGAGCUAAUACCGGAUAAUAUUUAGAACCGCAUGGUUCGAUAGUGAAAGAUGGUUUUGCUAUCACUUAUAGAUGGACCCGCGCCGUAUUAGCUAGUUGGUAAGGUAACGGCUUACCAAGGCGACGAUACGUAGCCGACCUGAGAGGGUGAUCGGCCACACUGGAACUGAGACACGGUCCAG
rnacentral:rRNA from 1 species